rnacentral:rRNA from 1 species
AUUGAACGCUGGCGGCAGGCCUAACACAUGCAAGUCGAACGAGUGGCGGACGGGUGAGUAAUGUAUGGGAAACUGCCCGUGGGCGGGGGAUAACGACUGGAAACGGUAACUAAUACCGCAUACCAUCGGAUGUGGGCAGAUGGGCUUAGCUUGUGGGUGGGGUAACGGCGCACCUAGGCGACGAACGCUGGCUGGUCUGAGCGGAUGACCAGCCACACUGGAACUGGGACACGGGCCAGACUCCUACGGGAGGCAGCAGUGGGGAAUGUUGCACAAUGGGCGCAAGCCUGAUGCAGCCAUGCCGCGUGUGUGAAGAAGGUCUUCGGAUUGUAAAGCACUUUAAGUUGGGAGGCGUUACCAACAGAAUAAGCACCGGCUAACUACGUGCCAGCAGCCGCGGUAAUAC